GGUUCAGGAUGAACGCUAGCUACAGGCUUAACACAUGCAAGUCGAGGGCAGCAUGGAGUUGCUUGCAAACUCUGAUGGCGACCGGCGCACGGGUGAGUAACGCGUAUCCAACCUUCCCUAUAGUAGAGGAUAGCCCGGCGAAAGUCGGAUUAAUACUCUAUGUUUUCCGUUGCAGACAUCUAAGAUGGAACAAAGGCUUGCCGCUAUAGGAUGGGGAUGCGUCUGAUUAGGUAGUCGGCGGGGUAACGGCCCACCGAGCCAUCGAUCAGUAGGGGUUCUGAGAGGAAGGUCCCCCACAUUGGAACUGAGACACGGUCCAAACUCCUACGGGAGGCAGCAGUGAGGAAUAUUGGUCAAUGGACGAGAGUCUGAACCAGCCAAGUAAGCGUGCAGGACGACGGCCCUAUGGGUUGUAAACUGCUUUUAUGCGGGGAUAAAGUUCACUACGUGUAGUGUUUUGUAGGUACCGCAUGAAUAAGGACCGGCUAAUUCCGUGCCAGCCGCCGC
rnacentral:rRNA from 1 species